GAUGAACGCUGGCGGCGUGCUUAACACAUGCAAGUCGAACGAAGCACUUUAUUUGAUUUCCUUCGGGACUGAUUAUUUUGUGACUGAGUGGCGGACGGGUGAGUAACGCGUGGGUAACCUGCCUUGUACAGGGGGAUAACAGUUGGAAACGGCUGCUAAUACCGCAUAAGCGCACAGCAUCGCAUGAUGCAGUGUGAAAAACUCCGGUGGUAUAAGAUGGACCCGCGUUGGAUUAGCUAGUUGGUGAGGUAACGGCCCACCAAGGCGACGUUCCAUAGCCGACCUGAGAGGGUGACCGGCCACAUUGGGACUGAGACACGGCCCAAACUCCUACGGGAGGCAGCAGUGGGGAAUAUUGCACAAUGGGCGAAAGCCUGAUGCAGCGACGCCGCGUGAGCGAAGAAGUAUUUCGGUAUGUAAAGCUCUAUCAGCAGGGAAGAUAAUGACGGUACCUGACUAAGAAGCACCGGCUAAAUACGUG
rnacentral:rRNA from 1 species